rnacentral:rRNA from 1 species
GACGAACGCUGGCGGCGUGCUUAACACAUGCAAGUCGAACGGAAAGGCCCUGCUUUUGUGGGGUGCUCGAGUGGCGAACGGGUGAGUAACACGUGAGUAACCUGCCCUUGACUUUGGGAUAACUUCAGGAAGCUGGGGCUAAUACCGGAUAGGAGCUCCUGCUGCAUGGUGGGGGUUGGAAAGUUUCGGCGGUUGGGGAUGGACUCGCGGCUUAUCAGCUUGUUGGUGGGGUAGUGGCUUACCAAGGCUUUGACGGGUAGCCGGCCUGAGAGGGUGACCGGCCACAUUGGGACUGAGAUACGGCACAGACUCCUACGGGAGGCAGCAGUGGGGAAUAUUGCACAAUGGGCGGAAGCCUGAUGCAGCAACGCCGCGUGCGGGAUGACGGCCUUCGGGUUGUAAACCGCUUUCGCCUGUGACGAAGCGUGAGUGACGGUAAUGGGUAAAGAAGCACCGGCUAACUACGUG